rnacentral:rRNA from 1 species
CAGCCGCCGCGGGAAUACAGAGGGUGCAAGCGUUAAUCGGAAUUACUGGGCGUAAAGCGCGCGUAGGUGGUUUGUUAAGUUGAAUGUGAAAUCCCCGGGCUCAACCUGGGAACUGCAUCCAAAACUGGCAAGCUAGAGUAGGGCAGAGGGUGGUGGAAUUUCCUGUGUAGCGGUGAAAUGCGUAGAUAUAGGAAGGAACACCAGUGGCGAAGGCGACCACCUGGGCUCAUACUGACACUGAGGUGCGAAAGCGUGGGGAGCAAACAGGAUUAGAUACCCGAGUAGUCCCUGUCUCUUAUAC